AGUCGAGCGAACGGACGAGAAGCUUGCUUCUCUGAUGUUAGCGGCGGACGGGUGAGUAACACGUGGAUAACCUACCUAUAAGACUGGGAUAACUUCGGGAAACCGGAGCUAAUACCGGAUAAUAUUUUGAACCGCAUGGUUCAAAAGUGAAAGACGGUCUUGCUGUCACUUAUAGAUGGAUCCGCGCUGCAUUAGCUAGUUGGUAAGGUAACGGCUUACCAAGGCAACGAUGCAUAGCCGACCUGAGAGGGUGAUCGGCCACACUGGAACUGAGACACGGUCCAGACUCCUACGGGAGGCAGCAGUAGGGAAUCUUCCGCAAUGGGCGAAAGCCUGACGGAGCAACGCCGCGUGGGUGAUGAAGGUCUUCGGAUCGUAAAACUCUGUUAUUAGGGAAGAACAUAUGUGUAAGUAACUGUGCACAUCUUGACGGUACCUAAUCAGAAAGCCACGGCUAACUACGUGCCAGCAGCCGCGGUAAUACGUAGGUGGCAAGCGUUAUCCGGAAUUAUUGGGCGUAAAGCGCGCGUAGGCGGUUUUUUAAGUCUGAUGUGAAAGCCCACGGCUCAACCGUGGAGGGUCAUUGGAAACUGGAAAACUUGAGUGCAGAAGAGGAAAGUGGAAUUCCAUGUGUAGCGGUGAAAUGCGCAGAGAUAUGGAGGAACACCAGUGGCGAAGGCGACUU
rnacentral:rRNA from 1 species